AGUGAACGCUGGCGGCGUGCCUAACACAUGCAAGUCGAACGGGCUAGUGCUUCGCACUAGUCUCUUUCUGGGGUUGUUACUCUAAGGCUACCUGCUAAAGUUAUUGCUUUAAAGCAGGGGUUUUAGGAGACUUUCCCCGAAAGGGCCAGUGCGGAGCACUGGCCAGUGGCGAACGGGUGAGUAACACGUGGGUAAUCUACCCUCGAGUGGGGAAUAAGCUUCCGAAAGGGGGUCUAAUGCCGCAUAACGUUUCAUAACGAUGGUUAUGAACCAAAGCCCAAAAGGCGCUCGAGGAGGAGCCUGCGUCCUAUCAGCUUGUUGGCAGGGUAAUGGCCUACCAAGGCUAUGACGGGUAGCCGGCCUGAGAGGGUGUCCGGCCACACUGGAACUGAGACACGGUCCAGACUCCUACGGAGGCAGCAGUGGGGAAUUUUGCGCAAUGGGGAAACCCUGACGCAGCGACGCCGCGUGGAGGAUGACGGCCUGGUGUAUACUUCUGAGACGAAGUACCG
rnacentral:rRNA from 1 species